UUGGCAGAAACAUAUGGUUUCUUUGGAAUAAAACUGUGUUUGCGAUGGAAAUUGAGCUCGCUGUCGAAAUUCCGGAAUUUCUUAGUACAAAUAAAAGGCAGCGCAGCUCACUGAUAACAUAACCCAAGCAACAGUCAUCACACGUGCAUGUAUCAAUUAGUAAGCGUCGCUAAGAAGUUGACGAUAUUCUGGAUUUAUUUACGUAAAUACUGUGCAGCAACAACAUGACAGCGGUAACAACCGAUCACAAAGCCAAUCCCGCGAAAUCGUUUAUCGCUGGCGGAUUUGGAGGCAUCUGCAGUGUGCUCACCGGCUAUCCACUGGACACCAUCAAGGUGCGACUACAGACAAUGCCAUUGCCGCCAGCUGGGCAACCGCCCAGGUACAAAGGUAUUAUUGACUGUGCCGUGAAGACAUUUAGUACGGAAGGUGUGCGCGGAUUCUAUAGAGGCAUAUCAGCACCUCUGGUCGGUGUGACACCUAUUUAUGCUGUGGAUUUUGCCGUUUAUGCGGCAUGCAAGCGUUUGCUUCAAACAGACGAUCAGAUUAAACUGUCCUAUACACAAAUCUUCAUGGCCGGUGUAGGCGCUGGCAUAUGCUCAGCCCUUGUCACAGUGCCAACGGAUCGCAUCAAGGUGCUCCUGCAAACACAGCCAAUCACAGGGGGACCCCUGAUGUACAAUGGCAUGGUGGAUACAGCCUUCAAACUCUAUAAACAGGGCGGCCUUCGUAGUCUCUUUAAAGGCACCUGCGCCUGCGUUCUCAGAGAUUCACCAACUGGUGUCUAUUUCGUUGUCUACGAGGGUCUACAGGAUUUGGCAAGACGACGAGCGGGACAUAUAACACCGACUUCAACAAUAUUUGCCGGCGGCAUGGCUGGCAUUGUAUUUUGGUCUCUAGCUGUGCCUUUUGACGUACUUAAAAGUCGACUGCAAUCGGCGCCCGAGGGCACGUAUAAACAUGGUAUUCGGAGUGUUUUUAGGAACCUAAUGGCCACAGAGGGUCCCAAGGCGUUGUAUCGCGGUGUAUUGCCAAUUUUAAUACGCGCCUUUCCCUCAACUGCAGCGGUUUUCAUUGGCGUAGAGUUGGCCAACGAUUUAAUGAAUUUCUAGACAUUGCUGUUGUCAAAGAUAGAAGCGGCAGUGCUCAAUACCUAAAGCGACAACGGACUUUGAACCCAACAGUGCCGGCAAUGCAGCAAAGUUAAUACAAAUUGAGUUUGCCUAGACGCUGCCUCUGAAGCGAAAAAUCAGUCAGAGCUUUGCGCUGCUGCCAGCAACAGGUUCCCACUGUGACGCUCUUCCGCUGCCGCUGUCACUG